UACGGAGGGUGCGAGCGUUGUCCGGAAUCAUUGGGCGUAAAGGGCGCGUAGGUGGCCACUUCAAGCGUGCGGUGAAAGUCGGGGGCUCAACCCCUGAUCGGACCGUGCGAACUGGGGGGCUGGAGCACUGUAGAGGCAGGCGGAAUUCCGGGUGUAGCGGUGGAAUGCGUAGAGAUCCGGAAGAACACCAGUGGCGAAGGCGGCCCGCUGGGCAGUGGCUGACGCUGAGGCGCGACAGCGUGGGGAGCAACAGGA
rnacentral:rRNA from 1 species